rnacentral:lncRNA from 1 species
CAGAUGCAGCCUUGCUGGAAUCAGCAAGAACAACCACCCCCAGGACUUCAGCCUCAACAUGAGCUAACAGGCAUUAAAAGCCCUCAGGUUUGAUUGUCUUCACUUAACUGGGGCAAUGAGAGGGGAAGUACGGUGGAAAUAAGAAGUGCUAGAUGGGAACCUGGACACUGGCUGACUCUCUUGACCACUGUACUGUCAUCCAUUGUCUGUCAACAAACCUUUGACUGGAUGUUGCCGGCGCAGAACAUUUCUUUUUCAUAGAUAUAAUAUUGUGCUUUUAUUU